GAUGGAUGACGAGGGUGAGGAGAGGAUGGAUGACGAGGGUGAGGAGAGGAUGGAUGACGAGGGUGAGGAUGGAUGAAGAGGGUGAGGAGAGGAUGGAUGAAGAGGGUGAGGGACUGACCAGAGAAUGAAAGGAGGUGAGAUCAUCAGAAAGGGGUAGCUGGAGUGGAUGGAUGGAUGGAGAAAGAAAAUAAAGAGCAAGCUGAAAACAAGGGGGUAGAGGAGGUGGGAGACCAGACCAUCCCUAGGAAAACAAGGGGGAAGAGGAGGUGGGAGACCAGACCAUCCCUAGGAAAACAAGGGGGUAGAGGAGGUGGGAGACCAGACCAUCCCUAGGAAAACAAGGGGGAAGAGGAGGUGGGAGACCAGACCAUCCCCUGGAAAACAUGGGGGUAGAGGAGGUUGGAGACCAGACCAUCCCUAGGAAAACAAGGGGGAAGAGGAGGUGGGAGACCAGACCAUCCCCCGGAAAACAAGGGGGUAGAGGAGGUGGGAGACCAGACCAUCCCCCGGAAAACAAGGGGGUAGAGGAGGUGGGAGACCAGACCAUCCCCCGGAAAACAAGGGGGUAGAGGAGGUGGGAGACCAGACCAUCCCCCGGAAAACAUGGGGGUAGAGGAGGUGGGAGACCAGACCAUCCCCCGGAAAACAAGGGGGUAGAGGAGGUGGGAGACCAGACCAUCCCCCGGAAAACAAGGGGGUAGAGGAGGUGGGAGACCAGACCAUCCCUAGGAAAACAAGGGGGUAGAGGAGGUGGGAGACCAGACCAUCCCUAGGAAAACAAGGGGGUAGAGGAGGUGGGAGACCAGACCAUCCCUAGGAAAACAAGGGGGUAGAGGAGGUGGGAGACCA